GGUUCGUUGGUCUAGCGGUAUGAUUCUCGCUUAGGGUAACAACUCUGAGUCACAAUUUGCGACAGGUCCCGGGUUCAAUCCCCGGACGAACCC
rnacentral:tRNA from 1 species